AUAACAUCGGAACUCAUGUACCAAAUACGCAAUUUAUGAAAGCAAUUGCUUGCUUAAAGGCUUCGGCAGCGUACUGGAGGGGAAACAAAGAUCGUGAGAGCUUACAAAGAGUUUAAGGGAUAUCUUACCCUGACCAAAAGCGUCUAAAGG